UACGAAGGGGGCUAGCGUUGCUCGGAAUCACUGGGCGUAAAGCGCACGUAGGCGGAUAUUUAAGUCGGUGGUGAAAUCCUGGAGCUCAACUCCAGAACUGCCUCCGAUACUGAAUGUCUUCGAGUCCGGGAGAGGUGAGUGGAACUGCGAGUGUAGAGGUGAAAUUCGUAGAUAUUCGCAAGAACACCAGUGGCGAAGGCGGCUCACUGGCCCGGUACUGACGCUGAGGUGCGAAAGCGUGGGUAGCAAACAGG
rnacentral:rRNA from 1 species